rnacentral:rRNA from 1 species
UACGUAGGGACCAAGCGUUGUUCGGAUUUACUGGGCGUAAAGGGCGCGUAGGCGGCGUAUUAAGUCAUCUGUGAAAUCUCCGAGCUUAACUCGGAACUGUCAGCUGAUACUGAUGUGCUAGAGUGCGGAAGGGGCAAUCGGAAUUCUUGGUGUAGCGGUGAAAUGCGUAGAUAUCAAGAGGAACACCUGAGGUGAAGACGGGUUGCUGGGCCGACACUGACGCUGAGUGCGCGAAAGCCAGGGGAGCAAACGGG